rnacentral:rRNA from 1 species
CAUGUAUUAAUGAUUAAAGCUACGGCGGCAAUAGAUGGGCAUGCGUACCAUUAGCUAGUUGGUGAGGUAACGGCUCACCAAUGUUACGAUGGUUAGGGGGUCUUANAGGAUGAUCCCCCACACUGGUACUGAGACACGGACCAGACUCCUACGGGAGGCAGCAGUGAGGAAUAUUGGGCAAUGGACGCAAGUCUGACCCAGCCAUGCCGCGUGCAGGAUGACUGCUCUAGUAGUUGUAAACUGCUUUUCUAUUUCAUGAACCCCUCUGACGUGUCAGGGGCUGACAGUAGAAUAGGAAUAAGCAUCGGCUAACUCCGUGCCAGCAGCCGCGGUAAUACGGAGGAUGCAAGCGUUAUCCGGAUUUACUAGGUUUAAAGGGUGCGUAGGCGGGGUAUCAAGUCAGUGGUGAAAUCCUGCAGCUCAACUGUAGAACUGCCAUUGAAACUGAUAUUCUUGAGUAUAGUUGAGGUAGGCGGAAUGUGUUAAGUAGCGGUGAAAUGCAUAGAGAUAACACAGAACACCGAUUGCGAAGGCAGCUUACUAAACUAUUACUGACGCUGAGGUACGAAAGCGUGGGGAGCGAACAGGAUUAGAUACCCUGGUAGUCCACGCCGUAAACGUUGAUCACUAGUUGUUUGCGAUACAUUGUGAGCGACUGAACAAAAGCAUUAGGUGAUCCACCUGGGGAGUACGUUGGCAACGAUGAAACUCCAAGGAAUUGACGGGUGCCCGCACAAUCGGAGGAACAUGUGGUCUAAUUCGAUGAUACGCGAGUAACCUUACCUGGGCUUAAAUGUAAGACGACUAACAGGGAUACUUGUUAUCUUUCGAGCGUCUUACAAGGUGCUGCAUUGUUGUCGUCAGCUCGUUCCUUGAGGUGUCGGGUUAAGUCCCAUAACGAGCGCAACCCUUAUCGUUAGUGUCCAGCGGGUAAUGCCGGGAACUCUAGCGAAACUGCCAUCG